CCACUUGCCCCUGGAAUCGGGCGCGAAAGACAAAACUUUCUUGAGCACGAGGUCACCUUCUCGGAACACACGAGGCUUGACCUUCUUAUCGAAUGCUUUCUUCAUUCUUUGCUGAUAUAACUGACCAUGACACAUGGCAGUUAAUCGCUUCUCUUCAAUUAAAUUCAAUUGGUCAUAACGACUCUGAAUCCAUUCAGCAUCAGUCAACUAGGGACUUGAGGGUAUACUUUUUCUUUUUUCCCUUGGAAAAAUCUUGAAAAAAUUUUCCUGGUUUU
rnacentral:lncRNA from 1 species